rnacentral:rRNA from 1 species
UACGUAGGGAGCAAGCGUUAUCCGGAAUUACUGGGUGUAAAGGGAGUGUAGGCGGGAUUACAAGUCAGAUGUGAAAACUGUGGGCUCAACUCACAGAUUGCAUUUGAAACUAUAGUUCUUGAGUGAAGUAGAGGUAAGUGGAAUUCCUAGUGUAGCGGUGAAAUGCGUAGAUAUUAGGAGGAACAUCAGUGGCGAAGGCGACUUACUGGGCUUUAACUGACGCUGAGGCUCGAAAGCGUGGGGAGCAAACAGG